rnacentral:rRNA from 1 species
GACGAACGCUGGCGGCGUGCCUAAUACAUGCAAGUUGAGCGCUGAAGGUUGGUACUUGUACCAACUGGAUGAGCAGCGAACGGGUGAGUAACGCGUGGGGAAUCGGCCUUGGAGCGGGGGACAAGAUUUGGAAACGAAUGCUAAUACCGCAUAAAAACUUUAAACACAAGUUUUAAGUUUGAAAGAUGCAAUUGCAUCACUCAAAGAUGAUCCCGCGUUGUAUGAGCUAGUGGGUGAGGUAAAGGCUUACCAAGGCGAUGAUACAUAGCUGGCCUGAGAGGAUGAUCAGUGACACUGGAACUGAGACACGGUCAAGACUCCUACGGGAGGCAGAAGUGGGGAAUAUUGGACAAUGGGAGAAAGCCUGAUCCAGCGAUGCGGGGUGUGUGAAGAAGGUAUUCGGAUUGUAAAGCACUUUAAGUUGGGAGGAAGGGCAGUAAGUUAAUACCUUGCUGUUUUGACGUUACCAACAGAAUAAGCACCGGCUAACUUCGUG